GGAAUAUUGGUCAAUGGACGCGAGUCUGAACCAGCCAAGUAGCGUGAAGGAUGACUGCCCUAUGGGUUGUAAACUUCUUUUAUAUGGGAAUAAAGUGGUCCACGUGUGGAUUUUUGUAUGUACCAUAUGAAUAAGGAUCGGCUAACUCCGUGCCAGCAGCCGCGGUAAUACGGAGGAUCCGAGCGUUAUCCGGAUUUAUUGGGUUUAAAGGGAGCGUAGGCGGAUUGUUAAGUCAGUUGUGAAAGUUUGCGGCUCAACCGUAAAAUUGCAGUUGAUACUGGCAGUCUUGAGUGCAGUAGAGGUGGGCGGAAUUCGUGGUGUAGCGGUGAAAUGCGUAGAUAUUAGGAGGAACACCAGUUGCGAAGGCGGCUCUCUGGACUGUAACUGACACUGAGGCACGAAAGCGUGGGGAGCAAACAGGA
rnacentral:misc_RNA from 1 species